rnacentral:rRNA from 1 species
GUGUCAGCAGCCGCGGUAAGACAUAGGUAGCAAACGUUAUCCGGAAUUAUUGGGCGUAAAGGGUGCGUAGAUGGUGUAAUAAGUUACUGGUGGUAAAUCGAGGCUCAACCUCGUGGAAGCUGGUAAUACUGUUAUACUAGAGUACAGAAGAGGUUAACGGAACUCCAUGUGGAGCGGUAAAAUGCGUAGAUAUAUGGAUGAACAUCAAUAACGGCGAAGGCAGUUAACUAUUCUGUUACUGACAUUGAGGCACGAAAGCGUGGGGAGCAAAAAGGAUUAGAUACCCUCGUAGUCC